AAGUCAACUGUCUGACUCACGUCGCUGCUCCCAGAGCUCCUGGAGCUCCAACCCUCAGCUCGGUGGCUUAAGACUAACACUGUCCUAGCGUCUUGGAAGCCCCCUGGACCAUCAUGGACGCCAAACUUCGGGUAACACUUACGGUGGAGGACUUGAGUAUGUCUUCAUCAGCAGCAUGAAAACAGACUAAUACAGCUGGCUUCAUAGAUUGAAUUGAAAAUUGUUGCCUCCUUUAAAUGUUCUGGAGGCUGGGAAGUCAAAGAUGAAGACCUGGGAAGAGUCAGUGCAUGGUGAGGGCUGCUUCCUGAUUCAUGGAUGUUGCCUUUUCUUGGUGUCCUCACAGGUGGAAGGGGCAAGGAGCUCUCUGGGGUCCCUUUUGUAAGGACAUUCAUUUUAUAAUGAGGAUUUUGCCUUCACUGCAUGAUCACUUCCUAAUGGCUCUACCUCCAAACCCCAUCACAGUAGAGAUCAGAUUUCAGUUACAAGUUUAAGGGUGACAAAACAAUUCAGUCCCACAGGGUUAUCUUGUUGUUAUAGAUUUCUAACGUAUUUCCAGUAUGGCUAGAAAAUGUAUUCUGUGUUAUUUCAAUGUUUCAAUGUGUCUUAUGACCUGAAAUAUGGUUUCUCCUGGUAAAUGUAUCAUUCAUAUUUGAGAUAAUAUAUAUUUUUCAUUGAUGUGCCUACAUAUAUAAGUAAAUUAAG